AAUGAACGUUGGCGGCGUGGAUUAGGCAUGCCAGUCGAGCGAGAACCCCGCAAGGGGGGACAGCGGCGAAAGGGACAGUAAUGUGUAGAUUAUCUGCCCUCAGGUCCGGGAUAGCUGCGGGAAACUGCAGGUAAUACCGGAUAACAUCUCCGGAUCAAAGGUGUGAUUCCGCCUGAGGAUGAGUCUGCAUCCUAUUAGCUAGUUGGUGGGGUAAUGGCCUACCAAGGCAUUGAUGGGUAGCAGGUGUGAGAGCACGACCUGCGUCAUUGGGACUGAGACACUGCCCAGACACCUACGGGUGGCGGCAGUCGAGAAUCUUCGGCAAUGGGCGCAAGCCUGACCGAGCGACGCCGCGUGUGGGAUGAAGGCCUUCGGGUUGUAAACCACUGUCAGAGGGGAUGAAAUGCAGGUGGGUUCUCCCAUCUGUGUGACAUAGCCUCAGAGGAAGGACGGGCUAAGUUCGU
rnacentral:rRNA from 1 species